rnacentral:lncRNA from 1 species
AUUUAUUUUGCAUGAGAAAUUGCUUGGUAAAUAUUUAUGUUUCCUCUAUUAUUGUAUUUAAGCAUGUUUUUGUUGCAAGUAACAGUAACUGACUGACUAUGCCGUAAGCAGAGAUGGAAAAGAUCAGAGGAGUCUCGGGAAACCCAGGAGGCAGAGCAGCAGAGAGGCCAGGCAGCACGGCUUUCUCUUUGCAGCGUAGAUGUGAGAAACGAGCGACGGGAGAAACAGUUUGGCCUCAGUGGAGACAGAUCCACUUGGCAUCAACUGUGGCCAAGGGGGCAGAUGGCACGCUAGACGCUGAGCGGCUGCAAGCCUGGCUUGGACCGUCAGACUCGAGAACGUCAACAGAAGUGAAAACUGGAUUGAGCUCCAGAAGGGAAGGGGAAGAAGCCAACAAAUGACAUUUCUGGUGAAGUCACGACAACGCAGUGUGCAUGGGGUAAAAAAUGGUUCCAUCGCCAAGAGCGUUAAGUUCUGCUCGUCAAUGAGGCAACUCGGACUUGACAGUUGAGGGUGUCAGGCCAACAUUCCUUCAGUGCAGAAAGAGCGAGCAGAGGGUCAGCUGUAGAAGCAAAGGUGUAGACAAUGAAAUCAAAUAGAUGACGUGGAGAGACCCAGUGUGCUCAAUCCACGGGAACUGCGAAAACCUUCUCGUCAGUGUGGUGGACUGAGCCCCACACGCUAAACAUGCUGGACGAAAUACACUGAGGGAAAAAGUUUUAAAUACAUCCCCAGGAGCACACACAGAAAGGAAAAUCCCCAGGUGCCUAAGCCAAGGAAACCAGCAUAAGAAGAGUCACCAGCUGCCGAAGAGGUGGGCAGGGGACCGAGGGCUGGCCAACCAAAAUGCACCCCUGCUGGCCACAGGGGUGAGUAUAAGAAAGUACAGUCUGAAGAAGGGCGGGUGCCCCAAGCUCGUCCCUACGUAUCUUUCCUGGAACUUUUUUCUGGAACUACCAGCACAAUCACUUUUUCUCCCUCCACUGGAGCUGCUAAGCUGUGUGGAUUUAGAGCUAGGAUUCUGGGCAUUGGCUUGUCCAGCAUGUGGAGAAAGUCUGCUGGAAAAUGGAGAGAAAUAUGGUCUCCUGAGGGCAUUGUUUGAGCCCCUGAAGCCACAUAAGCCCCUGGAUCGGUCGAUAAUGCACGUCAAUGAAUCCUUUUGUUCCUAAGCUAGUUCAAGUUGGAUUUGUAUACUAACCCAAUCAACCACCGCCUCCACUUCCCAAUCCUGCUGACCUCCUCGAGAGAACAACUGUCAACAGUUGGUGAAACUGCCCACCUGCCCUCACAAGGAAAAUACAGCAGACGUGACGCCAAGACACUUCCGAGACCAGGAUGGGCAAGGCAGCACAGCUUCUGACUGACCCCUGCUCUCCACAGAUGCUCCCCUCUGGGACUCGGCCACCUGUGGAGACCAGACAGGUGCUCCUGCAACAUCUUCAGCUGAGUCUCAGCUGGAAGCCAGCGCCAACCACCAUUCACAUGAGUGAGCAAGCCUGCAGGUGAUUCCAGCCCCAGGGGACGCCGAGUGAGCACAGCCGAGCGUCCCCACCCAGCCCUGUGCAAGUCACCGAUUCCUGAGCAAAUUAAUUUUGGGGCGGUUUGCUAGAUAGCAGUAGAUGACCAGAACCACGCUUAUGCAGACAUAGUUUGCUUUGAUUUGCUUUUUAUAUAAACAGGAUCAUAGCCUAUUGAUCUUCAACUAGCUAAUUUUUUUCGUGUGUAACACUUUGCCCUGGGGUUCUCUCC